GUGCCAGCAGCCGCGGUAAUACGAGGGGAGCAAGCGUUGUUCGGAUUUACUGGGCGUAAAGGGCGCGUAGGCGGCGUGACUAGUCACUUGUGAAAUCUCCGGGCUUAACUCGGAACGGUCAAGUGAUACUGUCGUGCUAGAGUACAGAAGGGGCAACUGGAAUUCUCGGUGUAGCGGUGAAAUGCGUAGAUAUCGAGAGGAACACCUGCGGCGAAGGCGGGUUGCUGGGCUGAUACUGACGCUGAUGCGCGAAAGCCAGGGGAGCGAACGGGAUUAGAUACCCCGGUAGUCC
rnacentral:rRNA from 1 species